GCCACUGUGCUAGGUGCACACACCUGACUGAUCGUCUUGUGGGCUCCCGCAUUUCCUGUUGCUCCAGGCAUCAGAUAUAUCCCUGGGAUCCCUCCAUUAGCUUGGCAAUGCUAUGGAAGUUGCCAGAAAAAGAAUCCUAAGGAAUUGGUUCUUGGCAAAUCCUAAGGAAUUUGGCUCAGGCAUUUGUCUUCCUAAUGAACUGGUGGGGAGGUAGCUGUGUUGGUACAUCAUCUCCAAGGCAGGAUCCUGCCCUCUGAAGCUUGAGUGGCUCCCAAAGUCUCAAGCCCACUGUGCUGAUUUGAGCAUUUGGCUCAGCCUUUUCUGGUCAUCACCAACGUUCACCUGGCCAUGCUGAUGGCAGCACGCAUGGAUCUGGCCAUUCCCACAGCCUGGUCACCCCAUGGUGGCCCUUGAUUGAGCUUGCCAUGGCACGGAAGGGGGCCUCUCCUACUCACCGAUCUCCUUAUUGAGAGAAAGAGUCUUGCUGUGUUGCCCAGGCUGGUCUCAAACUCCUGGGCUCAAGAAAUCCUCCCGCCUCAGCCUCCCAAAGUGUUGGGAUUACAGGUUUAUGAGCAGGAACCAUUGCUUAAGAAAUACUCACCAUCAAGCAGAAUCAUGAGGGACAGAGCACCAUGAACUCAGGGAGCAAAGAGAACACUGUGGGGGUAUUCUUAGGGAUGGAAUCUCCACAUCAAAUCUAUUGGCAAG
rnacentral:lncRNA from 1 species